AGAGAGUAUGCAAGCGGACACUCACACCACGUUCCACGCUACUACCACGACUCUUAUAAUAGACCAACGCACACAACAUACGGUACGAUGCCAUGACGACGACGACGACGUACGCGCGCUCAGUUGGACCGCAUUUUGUUGAGCUGAUUGAGCGCCGGCUGCAGAAUGUUGUAGAGCACCCAGCCGAGGGCGGGCGCCACCACGAAAAGCAGCAGCAGGCCCCGGUUGUCGUCGGCCGGCGCGACCGCCGCCAGCGCGGCGAGCUCCUGCACGGCGGCGGAGGCCGGCUCCGGCACGGCGGCCAGGCCGGCGGCCGCGGCAGCGCCGAUGCCCAGCCCGGCGACGAGCGCCUUCUCGGACCGCAUCUUGUUGAGCUGGUUCAGCGCCGGCUGGAGGAUGUUGUAGAGCACCCACCCGAGCGCGGGCGCCACCACGAAGAGCAGGAGUAGGCCCCGGUUGUCGUCCGCGGGCGCCGCCGCCGCCACGUCCGCGAUCCGCUGCGACGCCAUCGCCGCGUCCGACGAGGCCAGCGAGGUGAAGAAGGCGCUCGCCAUGGCAGCGGCCGCCGGCGACACGGCCAGGGCUCCCUUCUUGGCCGCGUUCUUCUGCAGGCUGCGCAGCGAGAUGCUCGGCGACGCCACCUUGGCGCUGGACGACGUCGACGACGAAGGCGCCGACCUCGCCGUGAUCUUGGCGGGCUUGAGCAUGGUCAUCGUGGCUAUGGUCGCCAUUGACGCCUAGCUCCCUGGUUGCUCGCUGCCUUCUCUCCCUCGCAAGAAGCUCUCACGCUGGCAAAAAGGUGGAUGGAGGGGUGCUGUGGGGUGCGCGGGUGUGUAAUGCGAUGCCCUUCCCUUCCCCUGCGUUUCUAGAACGGACGAUGUGGCGUGGCUAGCUUAUCUUGUGCGGCGAGUGUGCGAUGGAGGUUUGAAAGCUUAUCUCGCGGCCUGCAACUUGCAAUGCCAUUGGCUGUGGGAGCAACUAGGCGGGGACCACACGAUUUACAUGGAGACUUUGGUGAGAGGAAGUGGAGUCGUGAAAUGAAUCGGAAAUUCAGAUAUCUCACAGUAGUAGGAAUAUAAGCGUGCCCUAGAAUGUCCUAUGGUACCAAACGACAAGAUCGUAUUCGUCUCAAGAAAAGACAAGAUCGGAGAUCGUCUGGAUUGAAACGUCUAGGUAUUUUCGGUGAAUUUCAGUUAAAAAUACACGAAAUGACGUUCAUCUUCGUGCUCCACAAUGUCUUUCCUCUUCGUUUACGCUGAUCAUUGCAGAACUAUUCUGUAACACAGACGAAGGAAGUAGACAACACCAUCCAAACGUUGAUAAUAAUUAAUAAGUUUAUGAAUUACUUCAUGCAUGAGCAUCAAAAUAUGAUGAACCACCAAACUAGAUACAGCACGGAAAGAACAAAAUCUGGUAGCAAUUAUUCACUCCCUACACGGAAUCGCCAGGCGUUUCCAUCCAUUAUUCGUCAGGGUAGAAACCAUGGAGCAAAAACAAACCAAAUGGCAGGCUGAUUACAACUUUCCGACAUCUCCACGGGGGAAGACCCUGCUCUGCUCACACUCAGGCUCCGAGCUGCAGCUUCUUUAUUGUGUCGAUCUGCUUUGCAGGGUUCAGCCCCUUGGGGCAGGCAUGCGUGCAGUUCUUGAUGGUGUGGCAGCGGUACAGCUUGAACUCGUCGUUGAUGGAGUCAAGGCGCUCCUUUGUGAACUCAUCACGGCUGUCUUGGAUCCACCUGGGAAGAACCAAUGUGUUUAUGGCACACGCCAAAGAAGCAUGUUAUAUCUCUCAGACACUGCAGUCGUAAGCCCAAUCCAAAGAACCAAUGUGUUUAUGGCUCAAGGCAUUUGAAACACUUGCAGAUAUGUGAAAAUGAUACUUAAACAAGUUAUAAAUGACUAAGAUGUUUCCCGGUUCUUCUGACUAAGGGCACUUGCAAUUAUUAGUCAAAAGAUAUUGUUCAAAUUUUUGUGUGCCUUAUAUCAGAUCAUGUUUUAGAUUAGAAGUUAAAAGGGCAAAUUGUGACAAACAAUAUGAUAAAUCAGAGGAUCAGAUAUACUAAAUCUCAGUGCACUCAUCAAAUAAAACCAGAUGAGAUAAAUAUUGAAUCAAACAGCCAGCUUAUAGAAACCUUGAACAAUAGAAUCUUUAGCUUCAUAAAUGCUGAAUAGCAUGAAAAACAGUACAUUACACUGCCUCAACUAAAUAAAGAGAAAACCAUGCCGUUUGCUGGCAGUAAAAAAACUUGACAGAUAGUUUCAGGAAUCAAACACUGAAAGAGGGCAACCUUAUUUUGCUGGCCUACUGAAGAGCUAGUUCUUUCUUCUACCCAUCUGUUAACAUCUACCAAGAUGCUUUCUUAACACCCAUCAGUUCACCCUUAUUUGCCAAGGUACGGAACACGAUACGAGACAUGCGGAAUUUUUGGUAGACACCACGAGAGCGGCCCGUGAAAAUACAGCGGUUUCUAAGACGUGUCAUGUUACUAUUUCUUGGCAGCUUGGACAACUUAUAGCGAAACUUAUCCCGCAUAUCUGAUGGAAGAUCAGGGUCCCUACAGACAGACUUAUAAAGCUUUCCUCUCAGCUCAUAUUUUGCUGCAAGCAAUCUACGUUUGUGAUCACGCAUGUUUCUCUUCUCUGAGACCCCAUGAUAUCCUCGAGCUUGGACGUGCAUGAACAUGCUGGGUUUUGGUUUCAUUAGCGUCCCCCACAGCGGAAGCCUAAAAAGGGUGAACGGGUGAACGUGUCAUGGACUUAACAACAUCCUAAAGCUUACAACAAAAGGCAUUAAAUAUAUUAGACAAUUAGCAUUUUAAUUCUGGUAGAACAUAACCAUAAUUUGCGGGUAAAGGGGGAAACUAGCAUGCUCUAUACUGAAAGAGAGGUUACCACAAAUAAAAGUAACUUCCAAAUCAAGGCCACCUCAAGAAUUAGGCUACUAGUGGGGGGAUAGGGGGGCUAGGACUUCCGAUGUCAUCCACAAUCCUAAUAAGGAAGAAGACUCGCGAAGUCAUGAAGAAGCAGACUGCUGAAAUGACAAACUCAUGAUUAUUUCCAACAGUGGCGCAUCAACUUCCAAAACAAUCAGCCAAAGACCAGAUAAAAAAGAAUAAAAACAGUCCCUAGAUAAGGCAUUCUUCAACCAAACGGACAUUUCACAGUACCCACCAAAUGAUCAUCUACACUGCUUCGCCGGGGAGCUAGCAAAGAAGUAACAGAUGAUCAUUGCAUAAAUGGACCUAAUAAUAUAUAUACAAACAGUCACUGAUGCCCAAAAUGUAUAGGCAUUCUUCAACCAAACGGGCAUUUCACACUAUCCGCCAAACAAUCAUGUACACCGCUUUGCCAGGGAGCUAGCAAAAAAGUAACAGAUGAUCAUUGCAUAAAUGUACCAAAUAAUUCACCACCACAUACCAGUGAACAAUUCUCCUAGAUAAAACGCACAUAGUUGCAUGCCUAGAACUACCUAGGCGAGAUGAAACCACCCUACGUAUCAUCCCACAACCAUUUCACAGCAUGACACACCAACCGAUCAAUCACAUGUCACUCGGUAAUCGAGUAGAUCCAGCACACAGAAGCAACAUACUCAGCAUAUCAUCACAAUUCACGAUAUCAAGAGAAUACGAGCGAGGCGCAGGUAUACCUGUUGGCAUGGAGCAGCGCUGCGGGGCCGAGAUACUCUUCUGGGUUCCACCAGUAGGACGGGCAGGAUGUGGAGCAGCAGGCGCAGAGGAUGCACUCGUACAUGCCAUCGAGCUUGGCGCGGUCGGCCUUGGACUGGUAGAUCUCCUUCCCUCCGGCCGACGCCGGGUCCUUGCGCUUGAGCCACGGCUCGACGCUCUUGUACUGGUUGUAGAAGUUGGUCAUGUCGACGACGAGGUCCUUGACGACGAACAUGUGCGGGAGCGGCGAGAUCGUGGAGGCACCGGCCGCCUCCGAGGAGAUCUUGGUGAGGCAGGCCAGCCCGUUGUCGCCGUCGAUGUUCAUGGCGCAGCUGCCGCAGAUGCCCUCGCGGCAGCUCCGGCGGAAGGUGAGGGACGGGUCCUGCUCGUUCUUGAUCUUGAGGAGCGCGUCGAGCACCAUGGGGCCGCAGUCGGAGAGGUCCACCUUGUAGUCCUUGAGGUGGGGCUUCGUCGACGGGGAAUCCGGGUCCCAGCGGUAGAUCGAGAAGGUCUUGGUGCUAGCAGGCUUCGAUGAGGGCGGCGGCGGCGCGGGGGAAGAGGAAUGGGGCUUGGAGGCGACGAGGCGGGAGGAGAGGGCCGGCGAAAGGAGGGCGCGCGCCGCCGGCGAGCGGCGGAGGAGGGCGGCGGCGGCCAUCGAUUUGGGGUUUCGCGUUUCUCUCUCUCUCUCUCUCUCUCUCCUUUUUCUCCUUUAUUUUUGGGAGGUAGGAGAGGGGAAGGUGGCGCGUGGUGGGCUUAGGCCCAGCUGGGUAUAUAUAUGUCGUGGUGCUGAUGGGUGGAUGACAUGUGGGGUCAAGAUGGAGGUAACGGAAUGGCGGUUCUAGGGUUGUGGUGGGUUACUGACAGGUGGGGCUUCUGAAAGCUUGGGUUGGGCCUUCUUGUGGAUGGGAGGGUGGAGAUGUGGACAAGCUCUGGGCCGUUUGCAAGAUGACAAUGGAAAGUUGGCUAGGGAAAAUGACUUCAUCGUAGCGUCAAGUUUUAUUGGAUUUGUGUAGCUUUUUCCUCCUCUCCUUUUUCAGGUCUUCUAUUUCGGUUUUGACUCUGCUGUCAUACCGGUCUUCAUAUAUGUGGGGCAUGUGAGAAUUCAAGAAUGGUGUACUGUGGAAACUGAAACUUAUCUUCAAGCUAUCAUAAAUACAAGAUGUCCUAAUGUUUUAAUGUGUUUGUUCAAUCAUUCCAUUUUGUAUGUAGUCUAUAUUAAAAUAUAUAAUAUUUAUAAACUGAAAAAAAUACUGUGCAUGUAAAAUAUAAUGAAUAAAUUAAGUCGUUGGCACACAACACAUGAUCGUUGAGCCAUCAAUAAAAAGGAUACUCCCCCAUGUACAUUUUACUCCGCAUAUAAGAUUUGUUUAAAGACAGUCUUUGAAAAUUUUGGUCGACUUCAUUAGGAAAAAAAAUCAACAAUCGCAAUGCAAAAUCAAUAGCAUUAAAUGUAUCAUGAAUUUAAUUUUCAUAUUGUAUACCUUUAGCAUUGUAGAUGUUGAUAAUUUUACAUAAAUAUGAUUAAAUUUUAUGAAGUUUGACAUAAAAAAAAAAUCUUGUAUACAGAGCAUAAAAGACCGGAGGUAAUACUGCAUGAACCCUUUUAUUUCAACAACAAAACCAGUGCUAGCAUAAGGAAAGCAAUAUCAUGAGAGCUGCGUAGGCUUGCUCACGCAAAUCCCCAAAUCCUACCGUAGACUUUAGCUGCGAGAGCUAUAUCUCGCUCCAAAACCUUUCCCUCAUGUGCAGCCAUUGGACCAAACCAGUUUCGUCUGGUUGUUUCUGGUUUGAUCUGGUUUUGAUCGAGACACUCUUGUUCGCAUUAGUUUCUUUGAAAAAAAAAAUAUUCUUACCAUGAUUUUCUUUUGGUUCUACAACGGGUUUUUUUUUCGUUUUUAUUUGUUUUAGCCGGUUUCUUCAUUUAUUUAUCGGUAUGAAUGGUUUCCCUCUUUUUUCCUUAGUUUUUUUUUCUUUUCUCGAGUUUUUUGAGAUUUUUUCUUUUCUUUCUUGCAUCAGUUUUCUUCUGUUUCUUAUUAUUUUUAUUUUUCUUUCUCAUUCCUUUUGUAUUUUUAUUUGAUUUUUUGUUUCUUCCCUGCUUCCUAUGAUUUUCAGUGUUUUUUGUGUGUUUCUAUAUUUGUUUUUUUACUGUGUCCCAUUCUUUUUGCAAUUGUUUCUUCGGUUUUGUUUUUCUUUGGUUUCUUUUAUUUCUUUUGUCAGUUUUCAUUUGUUUCUCAUUUUUCUUUGAAUCUUUCAAUAUUCAUCAUACAUUUUACUUGUAUGACAAGAAUAUUUUUCUAACACAAGUUUAACAUUCUUAGAUACAGGUUUCAUUUUUUUAAUACACGGUCAGUAUUUAUUCUAUCCAUGUUUUUUAAGAUCUUGCAAUGGCUUGAUUAUCAUUUUCAAAUACAAGAUUACCAUUUUAGAUACAUGGUCAACAUUUUUCUAUACACAUUAAAAAUCAAAUGCUUAACUAACAUUUUUCAAAUACGCAUGUAAACUUUUUAAAUGUUUCAUUAGCAUUUUCUAAGUACAUGAUCAAUUUUACGGAGUGCAAUUUAAGUUGUCGCAAGUUAAAUAAAUAUUGCAUGAAGAUAGUGUUAGAGGUAAUAACAUUGUGGAAGUCCACUAGGAGAGUGACCAUUUCUGCUACGUGUUGGGUCCUAGAGAUGGAAUGUCAUCUCGACGACAAACCAAGGGUCGUUGUCAAUUGCCACAAGUUGCAUGUCAUGUUGGAAAUAUGUCCUAGAGUCAAUAAUAAAAUGGUUAUUAUUAUAUUUCCUAGUUCAUGAUAAUUUGUCUAUUGUUCAUGCUAUAAUUGUAUUAACCGGAAACCGUAACACAUGUGUGAAUAUAUAGAUAACAAUGUGUGUCUAGUGAGCCUCUAGUUGGCUAGCUCGUUGAUCAAUAGAGGAUCAUGGUUUCCUCAUCAUGGACAUUGGAUGUCAUUGAUAAUGGGAUUACAUCAUUGGGGAAAGAUGUGAUGGACAAGACCCAAUCCUAAGCAUAACACUAGAUCGUGUUGUUCGUCUGCUAAAACUUUUCUAAUGUCAAGUAUCAUUUCCUUAGACCGUGAGAUUGUGAAACUCCCGGAUACCAUAGGAGCGCUUUGGGUGUAUCAAAUGUCACAACGUAACUGGGUGAUUAUAAAGGUGCACUACGGGUAUCUCCGAAAUGUUGGAAAUAUGCCCUAGAGGCAAUAAUAAAUUAGUUAUUAUUAUAUUUCUUUGUUCAUGAUAAUCGUUUAUUAUCCAUGCUAUAAUUGUAUUGAUUGGAAACACAAAUACAUGUGUGGAUACAUAGACAAAACACUGUCCCUAGUAAGCCUCUAGUUGACUAGCUCGUUGAUCAAAGAUGGUCAAGGUUUUCUGACCAUAGACAAGUGUUGUCACUUGAUAACGGGAUCGCAUCAUUAGGAGAAUCAUGUGAUGGACUAGACCCAAACUAUGAACGUAGCAUAUUGAUUGUGUCAUUUUAUUGCUAUUGUUUUCUGCGUGUCAAGUAUUUAUUCCUAUGACCAUGAGAUCAUAUAACUCACUGGCACCGGAGAAAUACCUUGUGUGUAUCAAAUGUCGCAACGUAACUGGGUGACUAUAAGGGUGCUCUACACGUAUCUCCGAAGGUGUCCGUUGAGUUAGUAUGGAUCAAGACUGGGAUUUGUCACUCCGUGUGACGGAGAGGUAUCUCGGGACCCACUCGGUAAUACAACAUCACACACAAGCCUUCCAAGCAAUGUGACUAGAUGUAAGUCACGGGAUCUUGUAUUACAGAACGAGUAAAGAGACUUGCGAGUAACGAGAUUGAAAUAGGUAUGCGGAUACCGACGAUCGAAUCUCGGGCAAGUAACAUACAGAAGGACAAAGGAAAUGACAUACGGGAUUAUAUGAAUCCUUGGCACAGAGGUUCAACCGAUAAGAUCUCCGUAGAAUAUGUAGGAUCCAAUAUGGGCAUCUAGGUCCCGCUAUUGUAUAUUGAUCAAGAAGUGUCUCGGGUCAUGUCUGCAUAGUUCUCGAACCCGCAGGGUCUCCACACUUAAGGUUCGAUGAUGUUUUAGUAUAGUAGAGUUAUAUGUGUUGGUGAACGAAGGUUUUUCGGAGUCCCGUAUGAGAUCACGGACGUCACGAGGGUUUCUGGAAUGGUCCGGAAACGAAGUUUGAUAUAUAGGAAGUUGGUGUUUGGAUUCCGGAAAGUUUUCGGGCAUUGCCGGAGUGUACGGGGAAUGAUGAAUGGGUUCCGGGGGGCCACUGGGUGGGCCCACCACGCCCCAAGGGGUCCACAUGGGUUCAUUGGAUGUACAAUAAGGUAUAAUGGGCUGACAAAGUCAUCCAAGGAAAGCCCAUGAGGAAAAAGUGGAAAAUCCAAAAGAGGUGGGAAAAUAAGGAAGGAGUCCUAAUCCAAGUGGGAUUGGAGAAGGACUCCUCCCUUCCCCAAGUCGACCGACCCAAGGAGGCCUCCUUGGACGGCGCCCUAGGGCUUUGCCCCACCCCUUGGAUCCUCCUAUAUAUACUAGAGAUUUAGGGCUGUUUUGAGACACAACUUUGCCACAUGCAAGUCAAACCUACACCUCGCAGUUCUUCCCCUAGAUUAGAUUUAUGCGGAGCUCGGGCGGAGCUCUGCAGGAAUAGAUCAUCACCGACACCGGCGCGUCGUCACGCAGCCGAAGAACUCAUCUACUUCUCCGUCUUGCUUGCUGGAUCAAGAAGGCCAAGAUCGUCAUCGAGUUGUACGUGUGCUGAACGCGGAGGUGCCGCCCGUUCGGCGCUAGAUCGGGAUUGAUCGUGGGAUGGAUCGCGAGACGGUUCGUGGGACGGUUCGAGGGACGGAUCAUGAAGACGUACCACUACAUCAACCGCAUUUCUUAACGCUUCCCGCUGAGCAAUCUACAAGGGUACGUAGAUCUAAUCUCCUCUCAUAGAUGGACAUCACCAUGAUAGGUCUUCGUGUGCGUAGGAAUUUUUUUGUUUCCCAUGCAACGUUCCCCAACAGUGGCAUCACGAGCUAGGUUCAGGCGUAGAUGUUAUCUCGAGUAGAACACAAAAGGUUUUGUGGACGGUGAUGUUUGAUUUGCUGCCCUCCUUAGUCUUUUCUUGAUUCGGUGGUAUUAUUGAAUUGAAGCGGUCCGGACCGACAUAACUCGUACGCUUACGAGAGACUGGUUUCAUCAACUGACAUGCAACCUCGUUGCAUAAAGAUGACUAGCGGGUGCCUGUUUCUUCAACUUUAGUUGAAUUGGUUUUGACCGAGGCGGUCCUUGGAGAGAGGUUAAAUAGCAAUUUGCACAUCUUUGUUGUGGUUUUUGCGUAAGUAAGAUAAGAUCAUACUAGAUACCCAUAGCAGCCACGUAAAACAUGCAUCAAUAAAUUAGAGGACGUCUAACUUGUUUUUGCACGGUAUGCUUGUGAUAUUAUAUGACCAAUGACGUGUUGUGAUAUUUUGGAUGUAUGAGAUGACCAUGCUGUAAUAGUUAAUAUCGACUUGCGCGUCGAUGCUACAGCAACCGGCAGGAGCCACAGGGUUGUCUUUAAACUAACGUUUGUGUUUGCAGAUGCGUUUACUAUAUUGCUAGGUCGUAGCUUUAGUAGUAAUAGCAUAUAUAGCACGACAACCUCGAUGGCAGCACGAUGAUGGAGAUCAUGGUGUGGCACCGGUGACAAGAAGAUCAUGUCAGUGCUUUGGUGAUGGAGAUCAAGAAACACAAGAUGAUGGCCAUAUCAUGUCACUUAUGAAUUGCAUGUGAUGUUAAUCCUUUUAUGCACCUUAUUUUUCUUAGAACGGCGGUAGCAUUAUAAGGUAAUCUCUCACUAAAAUUUCAAGAUGAAAUUGUGUUCUCCCCGACUGUGCACCGUUGCGACAGUUCAUCGUUUCGAGACACAACGUGAUGAUCGGGUGUGACAGACUCAACGUUCACAUACAACGGGUGCAAAACAGUUGCACACACGAAACACUCGGGUUAAACUUGACGAGCCUAGCAUGUGCAGACAUGGCCUCGGAACACAAGAGACCGAAAGGUCGAGCAUGAAUCGUAUAGUUGAUAUGAUUAGCAUAGAGAUGCUUACCACUGAAACUAUUCUCAAAUCACGUGAUGAUCGGACUUGAGUUAGUGAAUUUGGAUCAUGUACUACACAAAUGACUAGAGAGAUGUACUUUUUGAGUGGGAGUUUAUUAAGUAAUUUGAUUAGUUAAACUCUAAUUAUCAUGAACAUAGUCAAAAGGUCUUUGCGAAUUAUGAUGUAGCUUGCGCUAUAACUCUACUGUUUUUUAUAUGUUCCUAGAGAAAAUUUAGUUGGAAGAUGAUAGUAGCAACUUUGCAGAAUUAGUCCGUAAAACCGAGGAUUGUCCUCAUUGUUGGGCAGAAGGCUUAUGUCCUUAAUGCACCACUCGGUGUGCUGCACCUCGAGCGUCGUUUGUGGAUGUUGCGAACAUCUGACAUACACGUUUUUGAUGACUACGUGAUAGUUCAGUGCGUAAUACUUAAUGGCUUAGAAGCAAGGCACCAAUGACAUUUUGAAACGUCACGGAACAUAAGUGAUGUUCUAAGAGAUGAAAUUGAGAUUUCAUGCUCGUGCCCAUGUUGAGAGGUAUGAGACCUCCGACAAGAUUCUUUGUCUACAAAGUAAAGGAGAAAAGCUCAAUCGUUGAGCAUAUGCUCAGAUUGUCUGAGUAGAACAAUCGCUUGAAUCAAGUGGGAGUUAAUCUUCCAGAUGAGAUAGUGAUGGUUCUCCAAAGUCACUGCCACCAAGCUGCUAGAGCUUCGUGAUGAACUAUAACAUAUCGAGAAUAGAUAUGAUGAUCCUUAAGCGAUUCGCAAUGUUUGACACUGCGAAUGUAGAAAUCAAGAAGGAGCAUAAAUUGUUGAUGGUUAUUAAAACCACUAGUUUCAAGAAGGGCAAGGGCUAGAAGGGAUACUUCAUGAAACGGCAAACCAAUUGCUGCUCUAAAGAAACCCAAGAUUGAACCCAAACCCGAGACUAAGUGCUUAUGUUACGAGGGGAACGGUCACUAAGGUGGAGCUACCCUAGAUGCUUGGUAGAUAAGAAGGCUAGCAAACUCAACCUAAGUAUAUUUGAUAUACAUGAUAUAGAUGUGUACUUUACUAGUACUCCUAGUAGCACGAUGGUAUUGGAUACCGGUUCGGUUGCUAAGUGAUUAGUAACUCGAAAUGAAAGCCACGGAAUAAACGGAGACUAGCUAAAGGUGAGGUGAUGAUACGUGUUGGAAGUGUUUCCAAGGUUGAUGUGAUCAAAACAUCACACGCUCCAUCUAUCAUCGGGAUUGGUGUUAAACCUAAGUAAUUGUCAUUUGGUGUUUCCGUUGAGCAUGAACAUGAUUGGAUCGUGUUUAUUGCAAUACGAUUAUUCAUUUAAAGAAAAUAAUAGUUAUUCUAUUUGCUUGAAUAAUUACCCUCAAUGGUUUAUUGAAUCUCGAUCGUAGUGUUACACAUGUUCAUAAUAUUGGUGCCAAAAGAUACAAAGUAAUAAUGAUAGUACCACUUACUUGUGGCACUGCCACUUGAGUCAUGUUGGUGUAAAAUGCAUGAAGAAACUCCAUGCUGAUGGAUCUUUGUACUCACUCAUUUUUGAAACGUUUGAGACAUGCAAACCACACCUGUUGGUAUAAACGCAUGAAGAAACUCCAUGCGGAUGGAUCGUUUGGAUUCACUUGAUUUUGAAUCACUUGAGACAUGCAAAAUCAUACCACAUGGAACAAGAAAGUAACUUGUUGGAAGCAAUGCAUUUUGAUGUAUGCAGUCCAAUGAGUGCUGAGGCACGCAGUGGAUAUCGUUAUCUUCUUACUUCACUGAUGAUUUGAGUAGACACAGGAGUAUUUACUUGAUGAAUCACAAGUCUGAAAUAUUGAAAAGUUCAAAGCUAUUUCACAGUGAAGAUCGUCGUGACAAGAGGAUAAACUGUCUACGAUAUGAUCAUAGAGAUGAAUAUCUGAGUUGCGAGUUUUGGUACACAGUUAAGACAAUGUGGAAAUUGUUUCGCAAAUCAUGCCACCUAGAACACCAUAGUGUGAUGGUGUGUCCAAACGUCAUAGCCGCACCCUAUUGGAUAUAGCACAUACUGUGAUGUCUCUUAUCGAAUUACCACUAUCGUUUAUGGGUUAUGCAUUAGAUACAACCGCAUUCACUUUAAAUAGGGCACCACGUAUUUCUGUUGAGAUGACACAGUAUAGACUAUGGUUUGGAGAAACCUAAGUUGUCGUUUCUUAAAAGUUUGGGGCUGCGAUGCUUAUGUGAAAAGGUUUCAGUCUGAUAAGCUCAAACCCAAAGAGGAUAAAUGCAUCUUCAAAGGAUAUCCAAAAUAGUUGGGUACAUCUCCUAUCUCAGAUCCAGAAGCGAAGUGUUUGUUUCUAGAAAUGGGUCCUUUCUCGAGGAAAGGUUUCUCUCGAAAGAAUUGAGUGGGAGGGUGGUGGAACUUGAUGAGGUUAUUGAACCGUCACUUCAACUAGUGUGUGGCAGGGUGCAUGAAGUUGUUCCUGUCGGGCCUACACCAAUUGAAGUAGAAACUGAUGAUGGUGAUCAUUAAGCUUCGGAUCAAGUUACUACAAACCUCGUAGGUCGACAAGGUCGCGUACUACUACAGAGUGGUAUGGUAACCCUGUCUUGGAGGUCAUGUUGUUGAACAACAAUGAACCUACGAGCUAUGGAGAAGUGAUGGUGGGCCCAGAUUCUGACAAAUAGCUGGAGGCCAUGAAAUCAAGAGAGGAUCCAUGUAUGAAAAUGAAGUGUAGACUUUGGGAGAACUACUUGAUGGUCGUAAGACUAUUAAGUAAAGAUGGAUAUUUAAAAGGAAGACACACGAUGAUGGUGAAAAGUCACCAUUAAGAAAAGCUCAACUUUUCGCAAAGAUGUUUCCGACAAAGUUCAAAGAGUUGACUAUGAUGAGACUUUCUCACUCGUAGCGAUGCUAAAAGUCUGUUGGAAUUAUGUUAGCAAAUGAUGCAUUGUUUGUAAUAUAUUGCACAUAGGAUGUCAAAACAUUGUUUCCUCGACGGUUUCCUUGAGGAAAGGUUGUAUGUGAUGCAACCAGAAGGUUUUGUUAAUCCUAAGGAUGCUAACUAGUAUGCAAGCUCCAGCGAUCCUUCUAUGGGCCGGUGCAAGUAUCUCGGAGUUGGAAUAUAUGCUGUGAUGAGAUGAUCAAAGCUUUUGGGUUUGUACAAGGUUUAUGAGAAACUUGUAUUUUCAAAGAAGUGAGUGGGAGCACUAUAGAAUUUCUGAUAAGUAUAUGUGGUUGACAUAUUGUUGAUCGGAAGUAAUGUAGAAUUUCUCUAAAGCAUAAAGGGUUGUUUGAUAGGAGUUUUUCAAAGGAAGACCUGGAUAGAGCUACUUGAACUUUGAGCAUCAAGAUCUAUAGAGAUAUAUCAAAACACUAAAUAGAAUUUUCAAUGUAAUGCAUGCCUUGACAGGUUUUUGAAGGAGUUCAAAAUAGAUCAGUAAAGGAGUUCUUGAUUGUGUUGUAAGGUGUGAAUUUGAGUAAGACUCAAAGCCCGACCACGACAGAAUAAAGAGAAUGGAUGAAGGUCGUCUUCUAUGCCUUAGUCGUAGACUCUAAAGUAUGCCAUGCUGUGUACCGCACCUGAUGUGUGCCUUGCCACAAGUCUGUUAAGAGGUACAGAGAGUGAUCCAGGAUUGAAUCACUAAACAACGAUCAAAGUUAUCCUUAGUAACUAAUGGACUAAGGAAUUUUUCUCGACUAUGGAGGUGAUUAAAGAGUUUGUUGUAAAGGGUUACAUCGAUGCAAGCUUUGACACUAAUCCAAAUAACUCGGAGUAGUAAAACGGAUUUGUAUAGUAGAGUAGAUAUUUGGAGUAUUUCCGAAUAGCACGUAGUAGCAGCAUCUAUAAGAUGACAUAAAGAUUUGUAAAGCACACACGGAUCUGAAAGAUUCAGAAUCAUUGACUAAAACCUCUCUCACGAGCAAGACGUGAUCAAACCUCAGAACUAUGUGGGUGUUGGAUUCGUUAAAAUUACAUGGUGAUGUGAACUAGAUUAUUCACUCUAGUGCAAGUGGGAGACUGUUGGAAAUAUGCCCUAGAGGCAAUAAUUAAUUAGUUAUUAUUAUAUCUAUUUGUUCAUGAUAAUCGUUUAUUAUUCAUGCUAUAAUUGUAUUGACUGGAAACACAACUACAUGUGUGGAUACAUAGACAAAACACUGUCCCUAGUAAGCCUCUAGUUGACUAGCUCGUUGAUCAAAGAUGGUCAUGGUUUUCUGACCAUAGACAAGUGUCGUCAAUUGACAACGGGAUCACAUCAUUAGGAGAAUCAUGUGAUGGACUAGACCCAAACUAUGAACGUAGCAUAUUGAUCGUGUCAUUUUAUUGUUAUUGUUUUCUGCAUGUCAAGUAUUUAUUCCUAUGACCAUGAGAUCAUAUAACUCACUCGCACCAGAGAAAUACCUUGUGUGUAUCAAACGUCGCAACGUAACUGGGUGACUAUAAAGGUGCUCUACAGGUAUCUCCGAAGGUGUCCGUUGAGUUAGUAUGGAUCAAGACUGGGAUUUGUCACUCCGUGUGACGGAGAGGUAUCUCGGGGCCCACUCGAUAAAACAACAUAACGCACAAGCCUUGUAAGAAAUGUGACUAAAUGUAAGUCACGUGAUCUUGUAUUAUAGAAUGAUUAAAGAGACUUGCGAGUAACGAGAUUGAAAUAGGUAUACGGAUACCGACGAUCGAAUCUCGGGCAAGUAACAUACCGAAGCACAAAGGAAAUGACAUACGGGAUUAUAUGAAUCCUUGGCACAGAGGUUCAACCGAUAAGAUCUUCGUAGAAUAUGUAGGAUCCAAUAUGGGCAUCCAGGUCCCGCUAUUGGAUAUUGACUGAGAAGUGUCUCGGGUCAUGUCUACAUAGUUCUCGAACCCGCAGGGUCUCCACACUUAAGGUUCGAUGAUGUUUUAGUAUAGUAGAGUUAUAUGUGUUGGUGAGUGAAGGUUGUUCGGAGUCUCGGAUGAGAUCACGGACAUCACGAGGGUUUCUGGAAUGGUCCGAAAAUGAAGAUUGAUAUAUAGGAAGUUGGUGUCUGGAUUCCGGAAAGUUUUCGGGCAUUGCUCGCAGUGUACGGGGAAUGAUGAAUGGGUUUCGGGGGCCACUAGGUGGGCCCACCACGCCCCAAGGGGUCACAUGGGUUCAUUGGAUGUAAAAUAAGGUAUAAUGGGCUGACAGAGUCAUCCAAGGAAAGCCCAUGAGGAAAAAGUGGAAAAUCCAAAAGAGGUGGGAAAAUAAGGAAGGAGUCAUAAUCCAAUUGGGAUUGGAGAAGGACUCCUCCCUUCCCCAAGUCGGCCGACCCAAGGAGGCCUCCUUGGCCGGUGCCCUAGGGCUUUUCCCCGCCCCUUGGCUCCUCGUAUAUAUACUAGAGGUUUAGGGCUGUUUGGAGACACAACUUUGCCACAUGCAAGUGAAACCUACACCUCACAGUUCUUCCUCUAGAUUAGAUUUCUGCGGAGCUCGGGCGGAGUCGUGCAGGAAUAGAUCAUCACCAACACUGGCGCGUCGUCAUGCUGCCGAAGAACACAUCUACUUUUCCAUCUUGCUUGCUGGAUCGAGAAGGCCGAGAUCGUCAUCGAGUUGUACGUGUGCUAAAUGCGGAGGUGCCGUCCGUUCGGCGCUAGAUCGGGAUGGAUCAUGGGAUGGAUUGCGAGACGGUUCGUGGGACGGAUCGUGGGACGGUUCGAGGGACGGAUCGUGAAGACGUACCACUACAUCAACCGCGUUUCUUAACGCUUCCCGCUGAGCAAUCUACAAGGGUACAUAGAUCUAAUCUCCUCUCAUAGAUGGACAUCACCAUGAUAGGUCUUCGUGUGCGUAGGAAUUUUUUUGUUUCCCAUGCAACGUUCCCCAACACGAAAGUGUAUGUUCGGUUCUACGAAUCGAGACUGGGAUUUGUAACUCAGUGUGACAGAGAGGUAUCUUUGGGCCCACUUGGUAAUCCAUCAUCAUAUUGAGCUCAUUGUGACUAAGGAGUUAGCUACGGGAUGAUGUGUUACAGAACGAGUAAAGAGACUUGCCGGUAACAAGAUUGAACAAGGUAUGGGGAUACCAACGAUCGAAUCUCGGGCAAGUAUCGUACCGGUAGACAAAGGGAAUUGCAUAGGGAUUGACUGAAUCAUUAACAUCGUGGUUCAUCUGAUGAGAUUAUCGUGGAACAUGUGGGAACCAGCAUGGAUAUCCAGACCCCGCUGUUGGUUAUUGACCAGAGAGAUGUCUCGGUCAUGUCUUCAUAUCUCCCGAACCCGUAGGGUCUACACACUUAAGGUUUGAUGAAGCUAGGGUUAUAGGGAAAAAGUGUACGUGGUUACCAAAGGUUGUUUGGAGUCCCGGAUGAGAUGUCGGACGUCAGAGGAGCUCCGAAAUGGUCCGGAGGUAAAGAUUGAUAUAUAGGAAGUCCUGUUUUGGUCACCGGAUAAGUUUUGGGCUCAUCGGUAGUGUAUCGGGAGUGCGAGGAGGUUGCAGAAGGACCCCCGGGAGGGGUGUGACGACCAAAGGAGUUCAUGGGCUGUUAGAGGAGGUGGACCAACCCUUAUUGGGCUGGCCAAGGCCUUCCCUAAAGGCCCAUGCAGCUAGGGAUAAAGGAAAUAAGGCAAAAGGGGUUUGAAAGGAAGGGAUCCACCUCCCUUGUGGGAGGUGGACUCCUCCCCUAGUUCGGCCGAACCUCUCCUCCUUAGAGGAGGGGCCAAGGCAACCCUCCCUCUCCCUCCUCAUAUAUAUACUUGAGGUUUUGGCCCUUUUGAGACAGACAAUUGAUCUCUCCCAAGGCGCAGCCCUAUCUCUCUCUUCUUCCUCCUCUGCAACGCUUGGCGAAGUCCUGCCGGGGAACCACAUAGCUCCACCAUCACCAUGCCGCCAUGUUGCCAGAUCUCUCCCUCAACUUCUCCUCUCUCCUUGCUGGAUCAAGAAGGAGGAGACAUCGCCGGGCUAUACGUGUGUUGAACGCGGAGGCACCAUCGUUUGGUGCAUAGAUCGGAAUCUUCCGCGAUCUGAAUUGCGGCGAGUACGACUCCAUCAACCGCAUCCUAGUAACGCUUCCGCUUAGCGAUCUUAAAAGGUAUGAAGAUGCUCUACAUCCUCUCUUGUUGCUGAUUUCUCCAUAGAUAGACCUUGCAUGGCGUAGGAAUUUUUUUGAAAUUACUACGGUCCCCAACAGUGGCAUCCGAGCCAAGGUUCUAUGCAUUGAUUCUAUGCACGAGUAGAACACAAAAGUUGUGGGCGUUGAUUUUGUAAAUUGCUUGCCGUUACUAGUCUUAUCUUGAUUUGGCAGCAUCGUGGGAUGAAGCGGCCCGGACCGACUUUACACGUAUCUUACAUGACACUAGUUCCACUGACCGACAUGCACUAGUUGCAUAAGGUGGCUAGCGGGUGUCUGUCUCUCCCACUUUAGUCGGAUCGGAUUCGAUGAAGAGGGUCCUUAUGAAGGGUAAAUAGCAUGGGCAUAUCAACAUUGUGGUUGUCACGUAGGUGAGAAACCCUAACCAGCCACGUAAAACUUGCAACGACAAUUAGAGGACGUCUAACUUGUUUUUGUAGGGUACGCUAUGUGAUGUGAUAUGGCCAAAAGGAUGUGAUGUUACAUAUGUGAUGUAUGAGAUUGAUCAUGUUCUUGUAAUAAGAUUCACGACUUGCAUUUCGAUGAGUAUGACAACCGACAGGAGCCAUAGGAGUUGUCUUAAUUUAUUGUAUGAGAUGCAGUGCCAUGUUGAUUACUUUACAUUAUCGCUAACGGUUAUCUAUAGUAGUAGAAGUAAUAGUUGGCGUGACGACUUCGCGAUGACAUAAUGAAGGAGAUCAUGAUGAUGGGGAUCAUGGUGUCAGGCCGGUGACGAUGAUGAUCAUGGUGCCCCGAAGAUGGUGAUCAAAGGAGCAAGAUGAUAUUGGCCAUAUAAUGUCACUAUAUGAUUGCAUGUGAUGUUUAUCAUGUGUUUACAUCUUAUUGCUUAGAAUGACGGUAGCAAAGAUAAGAUGAUACCUCAUAAAAUUUCGAGAUAUGUAUUCCCCUAAGUGUGCACCAUUACGAAGGUUCGUUGUUUCGAAGCACCACGUGUU
rnacentral:lncRNA from 1 species